GACGAACGCUGGCGGCGUGCUUAACACAUGCAAGUCGAACGAUGAAGAAAAGAAUCGAAGCUUCGGCAGAAAUUCAUUUCGGAUUAGUGGCAGACGGGUGAGUAACGCGUGAGCAACCUACCUCUUACAAAGGGAUAGCCUCGGGAAACCGGGAUUAAUACCAUAUAACAUUGUGACGAAGCAUUUCGAUGCAAUCAAAGCUACGGCGGUAAGAGAUGGGCUCGCGUCCCAUUAACCGGAUGGUGAGGUAACGGCUCACCAUAGUGACGAUGGGUAACCGGCCUGAGAGGGUGAACGGUCACACUGGAACUGAGGCACGGUCCAGACUCCUACGGGAGGCAGCAGUGGGGAAUAUUGCACAAUGGAGGGAACUCUGAUGCAGCGACGCCGCGUGAGUGAUGAAGGAAUUCGUUUCGUAAAACUCUGUUCUAUGGGAAGAAAAGGACUGUACCAUAGGAGAAAGCUCCGGCUAAAUACGUG
rnacentral:rRNA from 1 species